UGGGGAAUAUUGGACAAUGGGGGCAACCCUGAUCCAGCCAUGCCGCGUGUGUGAAGAAGGCCUUAGGGUUGUAAAGCACUUUCAGUGGGGAGAAAGGUAAUUCACCUAAUACGUGAGUUGAUUGAUGUUACCCACAGAAGAAGCACCGGCUAACUCCGUGCCAGCAGCCGCGGUAAUACGGAGGGUGCAAGCGUUAAUCGGAAUUACUGGGCGUAAAGCGCACGUAGGUGGUUUUCUAAGUCAGCUGUGAAAUCCCCGGGCUCAACCUGGGACUUGCAGUUGAAACUGGAAAGCUAGAGUAGGGUAGAGGGGUGUGGAAUUCCAGGUGUAGCGGUGAAAUGCGUAGAUAUCUGGAGGAACAUCAGUGGCGAAGGCGACACCCUGGACUCAUACUGACACUGAGGUGCGAAAGCGUGGGGAGCAAACA
rnacentral:rRNA from 1 species